AAAUAAACGAACAACUCAGAAAUAAACGAACAACUCAAAAAUAAACCAUCAACGCAGAAAUAAACAAUCAACUCAGAGUUAAACGAUCAACUCAGGAAUAAACGAUCAACUCAGAAAUAAACGAUCAACUCAGAAAUAUACACGAACUCAGAAAUAAACGAACAACUCAGAAAUAAACGAAGAACUCAGAAAUAAACGAACAACAUCCCCAGGGUGUCGAGCAGCAGUACGCGCCCACCAUGUACCAUACAUUACAGAAGUGCAGACGACAUAAUGUUUACCGCGGCAUUCAAAAUGGCGGACACCUUGAACCGCUUCACGCGAUGAACACGUAGAAAAAACGGAGGGUAAAAACGUAGUGUUUUUUCGUCGACGACCUCCGAAGCCAGAAAGAAGUCUAUGCGAAAGGACGAUUCUAGUAACAUGGAAGGGAAGCCUGUGAUGAAACAAGAUCCUUCCGAGAAGUAAUCAUGAAGCGGAAAGUACAACUUUAAUAUGCCUCAUUUUCUCAUUGGAGCAGACCAUUGCAGCCUCAUCAGCUGGUUGAGUCUGUUGCAGUAGCAUGCGCGACCGUUCAACGGUAAAUGGGAAAACAGUGACAUUUUCUUGGAGAGAAGAUACCCCUAACCUACAGGAAGCGUUCAAAAAGUGCGCUGCUUUGCUACAAUAUUUGGCCCUCACUAAAUGAAGUACAUGUAGGCCUAGUUUUUUUUUCUGUGUAGCCUACAUGUACAUGUACAUGUAGGCCCUACUUAAGUCUUUGUUGUCACUCUAAGUCUAAUCCAUGUGACAUUUGCAGUUCUACAUGUACAUGUAAAUUGUAACUGUACAACUUCUGCACACAGAAACUAAAAGAGGUGCUACAUUUUUUUCUGCAGAUAUUUGUAAAAAUUAUUAAAUUUAAAUAGAUACAUGCAGUGCUAGAUACAUGUAAAGUAGCGGCCAAACUCAGAUUUCUUCUUUUUGCCUAGUGAGGGCACUGUACCAGAAAGAUGGUAACCAAGCUCUCCUUAGCAACAUAGAUUUAGCGUUGUAGAGUUUGCAACUUGUGUAUUAAAUUCUUCGCCCAAAGCAAUAAUCGCUGAGGUUUAUUAAACGGUUGGUACAGCAGUUUACUGUUAAACAAUUUCUAUAAAUUAUGUAGUGAUAAGUGUGAUAUUUAGUACCGUUUUAUAGCCUAUAAGUUGCAUUUUCAACGCAUUUGUUGGUUGCAUAGUCACGGUAUUGUGGAACCUGUUAAAAGCACAUGUACUGCAGGUCGAGAUUUAUACAGGGUGUACCUAAACCCUUCUUGCAUUUAGACAUCAGUAUUCUUUUAAUGUGGAGUAGCUAGUAUAAAUGCAAAUUGUUGGACUGACACUGGAUUUAGGUCAUAGUUGAUACACUCACUCCAUGUACAUGUACAUUGUAGGGGCCUACAUGUGUAUUUACAUAAACAUUGCUUUGGACAUGUGUGUGCAUGUGUUUGGAACAUGUAAGUGAUAUGUAAUGAGCUAAUUCUGUUACAAUAAGGUUACACAAAUACACAUGUACUGGGUAAUUUCUUGUAACAAAUACAUACAUUUUAUUUUCUAUUUUAUUGUAGUCAAUCUGUGCCUGACAUGUACCACUACAAAACUGUAUUAGCAGAAGUUGUACUACACAGUAAAGUUUCUGGAUCUGCA